ensembl:Y_RNA Y_RNA Y RNA
AGCUGGUCUAAUGUGAAUGGGUUAUCAGAACAUAUUCAUAUUAGUGUCGCUCAUGUUAGUAUAUAACCUCCCAAGGCUAAAUUUGACUGGCUUUUU